GUGAAGCAGGUUGCUCCAGGGCUGUACAACGAAGGGGCUCGUCCCUUUCCUUCUUCCUGCCUUCUGCAUCAUUGUGAGACAGUAUCAAACUCUCCGUCUUCCCACCAGGGCUAGAACCACCCUGGAUACCAGCUUGGCUGGAAGAGGAAGUUGGCAGCUGCAAUAGAAAGAAUGCUGCCAACCUUGUCUACACAUCUGGCAAGACAAGAAGGAAUGAAUCGCAGUAGGGUACAACAUCCUGUCCCUUGGCGGAAUUCAUGGCAAGGAGUCGCAUUUUUGAGGCUGCUUGAUACGAGAAACUCCAUGCAAUUGGAAAACAUCGGAGGAAAACAUCGGAGGAAAAACUGGAUUAUGGUGCAUUUUGUAAAAGGGGAAACCAGAGGAAGAUGCUCUCGGGAGGCAGAGAACACAACAUCUGGUUCUGCAAGACCGAAAAAAAAAAAUGGGACAAUUUGGGGCUGGCAGUUGCCCAGGCUAGAGACUGAGGCCCAGCGCCCUCUAGUGUAUGUUUAGCAAACCAUCUCAUGUGCCUUGUCUUCACUUCUAUGAUGGGAAAAUCGGCCACAUUUUCUGGUUCAUAGUUGUCAUCAUCAUCAGAAGCCAACAAGUUUAAAUACUCUCGAUAUACAUAGAUGCACACACAACAUAGGCAUAGUUCUUAAGUGAAUCAUCUGUCUUCCCUCACUGACAUUGUUUGUCGGAAGCCAGUUGGGAAGGUCAGAAAUGGUGAUCCCACGAUCCCAGGAUGCUGCGACUGUUGUAAAUCCACACUGGUUGCCAAGUUCCCACAUUUUGAUCACAGGAUCAUGAGGCGGCCUUGACAGUUGUAAGUGAGAAGAACAGUUGUAAAUCGCUUUUUUGAGCGCCAUUGUAACUCUGAACGAUCCCUAAACGAAUGGUUGUAAAUUGCUGUACACAAUUUGAAAUUAUUGGAAAUUAUUCCAGUCAAGACUCUUUGUAUCAAGUAAAAAAAUCAUCUUUUUUUGUAUUCAGUUAAAUAAAUAUUGCUAUUAUGCAUUUUUAUAACAUUUUUAAAAUGCGAAGAUUUGAAAAACAAACAAACAAAAAAGAAGAAUUUUGGAAUUCCAGGAAGCAAAAAAAACACUAACAUCUAGAUUAAUAAAUAAAGGGAAAGAACAUCCUUUCUUCAAUUUAAAAUUUGGCAGGAUCAUAAAGCAAGAAAAUAACAUGAAUUGUGCAUUCCUUCCUGUUAAUUUCUACACAAUCCCAUUAAUAUUUAAAUCCAUGAACACUUAGCUUUUUUAAAAUCAGCCUCCUAAAGAAUUUUGCCAUAUUUAAUAACUCACAGAAGAAUCAGCAAAACAAUUAAUACACCAGAACGGCCCAAAGGUGCUUUUUCAAGAGGCAACUGGACUUUCUUGUUUUUCUUUGAGGACAUUUCACUUCUCAUCCAAGAAGCUUCUUCAGCUCUUGACUGGAUAGUGGGGAAUGGAAGGAUUUAUAUUCCUUGCAGAGGGCUGGUCAUUUGCAUCUUUUUAGAGAGUUGGGGCCACAUGGAGGUUUUAUCUGUCCUCAGGGCCACCUGAGUAGUGCAAAUGAAGCAAAAUGUAUUCGAAAGGAAGACAAAAAAAGUCCAGUUACCUCUUGAAAAAGCAGCUUUGAGCAACCAUGACCUGGAUAACUGAGAAUCUCCAUAGAAAAUACACCAGAACCUUUACCCUUUUCAUGAAAUAAUUUCAUCUGAAAAGUUUCUACUGGAAUACUUCUGAUUUUUGGCUACCGUGGAUUAGUAUGGUCCAAUGGUGCAAUCCAGUUUGUUUUACUACCGGUUCUGUGGGUGUGGCUUGGUGGGCAUGGCAGGGGAAGGAUACUGCAAAAUCUCCAUUCCCAUCCCACUCCAGGGGAAGGAUACUACAAAAUGCCCAUUCCCUCCCUACUUCAGGGGAAGGAUAUUGCAAAAUCCCCAUUCCCAGCCCACUCUGGGGCCAGUCAGAGGUGGUAUUUGCUGG